rnacentral:rRNA from 1 species
CCUACGGGUGGCAGCAGUAGGGAAUCUUUCACAAUGGGCGAAAGCCUGAUGGAGCAACGCCGCGUGCAGGAUGAAGGCCUUCGGGUUGUAAACUGCUUUUAUAAGCGAGAAAUAUGAUGGUAACUUAUGAAUAAGGAUCGGCUAACUACGUGCCAGCAGCCGCGGUAAUACGUAGGGAGCGAGCGUUAUCCGGAAUUAUUGGGCGUAAAGGGUGCGUAGAUGGCAUAGUAAGUCUUUUGUAAAAAUGCUGGGCUCAACCCAGUAGGGCAAAAGAUACUGCAAAGCUAGAGUAUGACAGAGGCAAGUGGAACUACAUGUGUAGCGGUAAAAUGCGUAAAUAUAUGUAAGAACACCAGUGGCGAAGGCGGCUUGCUGGGUCGAUACUGACAUUGAGGCACGAAAGCGUGGGGAGCAAACAGGAUUAGAUACCCGAGUAGUC